UGAGGUGGUCUCCUCUCUCUGGAGUCCGAUCCAUACUCUGUACUCUCCGUAAUCCGUACUCCGUACCGCUCAGUAUUCCGUAUUCCCUGCCUCGCAUUUCGUAUUUGCCCACGGCUUGUUUGACAACUUGCCGGGCACGUAGCGCGGAGCAGUCGCCGGAUCGACUUGUGUACUACAACCUCACACGGUCGUCAAACAGUGACAGAAACAGCCCCACAACUGGACUAUACACUGAAAGAAAAUCGCCCCACCACCCGACUCGAUUUCACCCGUUCCACAUUCCAAGUCCGCUGACUCAGAUCAGCCGUAAAACCGACUAAUUUAUAAGCCUAUAUACCCAAAGUAAGGACAGGGGUAUUGGGAUCGAAAAAAAAGUAUCUCAAGAAUCUCCGCUACCGCUGCACGCGCCAUAAAUAUGUGUUAACCAAAGAACAACAAUGACAAGAAAACGAGGCUACAAGAAAUCGGGCAGCGGAACCAAAAACCGAAAGAAAAAAGUUCAGAUUGUCGCGUGUCCAAGACAAGACGUCGACAGCAUCGCCAAAUCCUCCAAUAUUCCGAGCUCGAAGGGAAGUGGAUCGCUGCGGUUCGGGAUCGGAUCUCCAGCGACAACAAGACGACAGAGUCGUGCUAAUGGGAAUAGUAUGUAAACGGAUGUUUUAAUGUCCAAAAAGUAAACUGCGAAAAUACACCAACAGCAACAACUUAAAAAUCGUUCGGUUUUCAACUCGGCGAA